rnacentral:rRNA from 1 species
UACGUAGGGGGCAAGCGUUGUCCGGAAUCAUUGGGCGUAAAGCGCGUGUAGGCGGCCCGGUAAGUCCGCUGUGAAAGUCGGGGCUCAACCCUCGGAUGCCGGUGGAUACUGUCGGGCUAGAGUGCGGAAGAGGCGAGUGGAAUUCCUGGUGUAGCGGUGAAAUGCGCAGAUAUCAGGAGGAACACCAAUUGCGAAGGCAGCUCGCUGGGACGUGACUGAC